rnacentral:tRNA from 1 species
GCCGCGGUAGCUCAGCCUGAUUCCCGUUCGAAGGCCAGGGAGACCUCACAGCUCAUCAGCAUCCGGCUGAAGACCGGAGUGUCGUCGGCUCAAAUCCGACCCGCGGCA